AGCAUUUUCCGGUUCUUAAGCAUGAUUAUUGGGUGUUCAUGUGUUUGAGUGACAUGUGCCUCCCUUAAAUCUUGUUAAGCAUUUGGCACAUUACCCAUCUGACA